AGAGUUUGAUCCUGGCUCAGGAUGAACGCUAGCGACAGGCUUAACACAUGCAAGUCGAGGGAGAUUCCCUUCGGGGAUGAGACCGGCGCACGGGUGAGUAACGCGUAUGUAACCUGCCCAUAAGUGGGGGAUAGCCCAGCGAAAGGUGGAUUAAUACCGCAUAACACCUCAGAUUGACAUCUUUUUGAGGUUAAAGAUUUAUUGCUUAUGGAUGGACAUGCGUUGGAUUAGCUGGUUGGCGGGGUAACGGCCCACCAAGGGGACGAUCCAUAGGGGUUCUGAGAGGAAGGUCCCCCACAUUGGUACUGAGACACGGACCAAACUCCUACGGGAGGCAGCAGUGAGGAAUAUUGGUCAAUGGGCGGAAGCCUGAACCAGCCAAGUCGCGUGAAGGAUGAAGGUAUUAUGUAUUGUAAACUUCUUUAGACGCAGAGAAAUAAGAGGGUCGUGACCCUUGAUGCUAGUAUGCGUAUAAUAAGGAUCGGCUAACUCCGUGCCAGCAGCCGCGGUAAUACGGAGGAUCCGAGCGUUAUCCGGAUUUAUUGGGUUUAAAGGGUGCGCAGGCGGCCCUGUAAGUCAGCGGUUAAAUCGUGAGGCUCAACCUCAUCCCGCCGUUGAUACUGCAGGGCUUGAUUGCGGUCGAGGUUGGCGGAAUUCGCCGUGUAGCGGUGAAAUGCAUAGAUAUGGCGAAGAACUCCGAUUGCGUAGGCAGCUGGCCAGGCCGUAAAUGACGCUCAUGCACGAAAGUGCGGGGAUCGAACAGGAUUAGAUACCCUGGUAGUCCGCACAGUAAACGAUGAAUACUUGUUCUUGGCGAUACAGUGUCAGGGGCAAAGCGAAAGCGAUAAGUAUUCCACCUGGGGAGUACGCCGGCAACGGUGAAACUCAAAGGAAUUGACGG
rnacentral:rRNA from 1 species